rnacentral:rRNA from 1 species
UGGGGGAUAUUGCACAAUGGGGGGAACCCUGAUGCAGCGACGCCGCGUGGGUGAAGAAGCGCCCCGGCGCGUAAAGCCCUAUCGGCAGGGAAGAAGAUGACGGUACCUGGCUAAGAAGCCCCGGCUAACUACGUGCCAGCAGCCGCGGUAAUACGUAGGGGGCAAGCGUUAUCCGGAUUUACUGGGUGUAAAGGGGGCGCAGACGGCAGCGCAAGCCAGGAGUGAAAGCCCGGGGCCCAACCCCGGGACUGCUCUUGGAACUGCGCGGCUGGAGUGCAGGAGGGGCAGGCGGAAUUCCUGGUGUAGCGGUGAAAUGCGUAGAUAUCAGGAGGAACACCGGUGGCGAAGGCGGCCUGCUGGACUGCAACUGACGUUGAGGCCCGAAAGCGUGGGGAGCAAACAGG